rnacentral:rRNA from 1 species
GACGAACCGUACGAACGUUAUUCGGAAUCACUGGGCUUAAAGGGUGCGUAGGCUGCGCAGAAAGUUGGGUGUGAAAUCCCUCGGCUUAACCGAGGAACUGCGCCCAAAACUACUGUGCUCGAGGGAGACAGAGGUGAGCGGAACUUAGGGUGGAGCGGUGAAAUGCGUUGAUAUCCUAAGGAACACCGGUGGCGAAAGCGGCUACACUGGGUCUCUUCUGACGCUGAGGCACGAAAGCUAGGGGAGCGAACGGGAGUUAGAAA